UNGAAUGUCUUAGCAUCUUUGCAUCUUGUGCC
rnacentral:piRNA from 1 species